UACGUAGGGCGCAAGCGUUGUCCGGAAUUAUUGGGCGUAAAGAGCUCGUAGGCGGCUUGUCACGUCAGGUGUGAAAGCCCGGGGCUUAACCCCGGGUCUGCAUUCGAUACGGGCUAGCUAGAGUGUGGUAGGGGAGAUCGGAAUUCCUGGUGUAGCGGUGAAAUGCGCAGAUAUCAGGAGGAACACCGGUGGCGAAGGCGGAUCUCUGGGCCAUUACUGACGCUGAGGAGCGAAAGCGUGGGGAGCGAACAGG
rnacentral:rRNA from 1 species